UGCAGGCCCCCGCCGCAGAGCUGGAGCGAGGGAAGAGCCAGGUGUGGGUCACUGUCCACCACACGGCCCUCAAACAGCGCCUCACACACCAGACUAGAGUAAUUGGCGUGGGGAGACGGUAUAUAAGCCAGUCGGAAACCGGCGAGGAGGAGAGAGAGCUGAGGACUCGUGGGGACCAGGAAGCCGGAAGCCAGAGAAAUUCCGACGAGUAUUGGAAAUACUACACUGGUGCCGAAACCCGGGAGGAAGGAGGGACGCACUGCCGAAGAUCCCUCAUCGCUGGGGUGAAUCUGCGGUGCCAUCGAGCAUGGUGGAGCAGUCUGCCGCCGUGGACGCUCGAGGCGGUGGGCUGGAGUGAUUUGCCGGGGGGACGGACGAGCUUGCUGCCGGCCACCUGAGAUGUGGAGGGACGGCUGCCUUCCGGAAGGGAGCAGAGGAGUCGCCGCCGUUCGCCUGGGGCCACCACCAAAUCAUCGGCAUAUUUAAUAAUGUGCCUGCCUGGAUAUUGACUUCUGCACCUUUCAGAGUAUAGAAUAAAUAACAGAGGUGAAAGAAUACAGCCCACUGAGGGGUAAAGCUCCCGGGAAUGUCCUCCAUUUACUCAUACUCUUUGAGAUCUUCUGGUCAGAAAAUCCAAAAUCCAGGUUUUCACAUGACGUUUCAUGUCGGACCACAUGCCUGGCCAGAAUGCUACUUCUUGGAGUCGUUUGUACGUUUUAUAGAUUCCUCCAUGGCCACUAAGACAACUGGAAUGGUAGUGCUUCAGCAAAGAGGGCCGAAGACUGCUGGGAACGUAGACUCGGUAGUGCAUCUGGUUAUCUGGUAGGACAACAUCUGACAAUGGCAGGUCUGACUCCUUGUGGCUUGUGUACAGAGUGCAGCUCGAGAUUGUCGCAGGACCCAACAGAUGAGUCGCCUGGUGGUUUUGGUGGAACCCAUGACCCAUUGCAGAGCAGAAUGGACAGUGACAACUGUGAAGAGUUUGUGUUCCAGAAUAGCACCCAAACCAGUGUCACUGGCAUCGAUGUAAACGGUGAAGGGGAGCUGAAGAUCUGGAUGGCCAAGGAUGGGUGGUGAGUGAGUUGAGGGGUUCAGCUAUCCUUGAAAAUUUUGGGACAUACCGAUGAUACCACCCAGCCAAUCCAAGGAACCUUUGAACCUCCUUCAGAUUUCUAGGCACAGGUAAGACCAACAGUCUUCAAUCUGUGGAGGGCAGUCUGAAGGUCAUGAAUGUGCUGGGUGAUUGAAGGUGGGUGAAUGAUUAUAUCGUCUAUAUAGACAAAGCAUAUUUUUCUCCUUAGUUCCCCCAGAACUGUUUCCAUAAGUCUCUGGAAAGUGGUGGGAGCAUUUUUGAGACCAAACGGCAUAACAUUAACUGACAGAGACCUGCAGGAGUGAUGAAGGCAGUCUUGGCUUUGCUAUUGGGGUCCAUUGCUACAUGCCAAUAGCCACUGUUAAGAUCAAUAGUGGAGAAAAUGGCUACUCCUGGAGAGUGACUCCAGGAUUUCUGUGAUGUUUGGAAGAGGGUAAGCAUCACUUUCAGUUACAGAAUUAACCUCUCUGUAGUCCACACAGAAUCUAAGUUUGCCAUCCUCUUUGGGUACCAAGACCACUGGGGAGGCCCAACCAAAGUGGUAUGGCUCAACAAUUCCUUGCAUCAACAUUUCCUCAAGCUGUUCCUCCAUGGAAAGCUGUUUAAGAGGGGACAAGCAAUAUGGUUUUUGCUUAAUCCUCUGGGGUUCUUCAUUUAGGAGUCACACUCUGGACCUUCGCAGUCAAAAGUGACAGGACCCCUGAAAUCAAAAAUUUUUUUCCCCAGUAAAAUCAAUGUAAUAUAUUUUUAUUCAAUAAUAUUUUUUCUUUUGAAUUUUGAGAGAAUUUUAU